ACCUCCCUCUCUACUCAUAUGCUAAUGCCACUGCUGAAAUCCUCUCAUCCCAGAUCUCUCUCAUUUUUGUUAAACCUCUAUCUCAUCUCUGUUAAACCUACCUCUAUACUUAUACACUAACGACGAACGACAGUGAACACCAAAUGACAAACGAUGAAAAAAAACUCCUCACCUACUGGCUCGAUGCCUCUCAUACGCUAACGAUGUCGAAAGCUCAUCAUUACGUACUAGAAGAAAAUGAAUCUGAGAUUAAAAAAUGGCUUCUUCUUCUACUAACAAUAGCAAUAUAAGAUUAAAACCAAGAUUGUGUGAUUGUGGGAGAACAACUGCCAUGUAUAUUGUACAAACCAAUGAGAAUGGAAAUCAAGGGCGUUUGUUUUUUAUUUGCCCAUCAAAAUAUAGUAAUAAGGAACCACUACAAUUACUUCAAGUUCGCAGAUAAUGAUGAUGACGACAUUACCUCCACAAUCUGUUCCAAUGCUAGUCCUUGGAAAGCUAUAAGAACAAAAGAAUUUAACGAUCUAAGGACAAGGCUUUGUGAGGUGGACAAUGAAAUUUAUGAGCAUGGUAGAAGGCUUAAAAGGAUAGAGAAGAAUUUCAAGGCAAUGAUUUAUGUCAUUGUAUUUUGUGUCUUUUUGUACUUUAUCAUCUAAAUGGCUAACUUGUUAGGUUUUGGCCAAUUUCAUGAAUGUAAUCAAAAACUUGUUUUGUAUUUUGUGUAUUUUUCUACUUUAUCAGCUAAAUGACUGACUUGUUAGGUUUUCUAGAAUUUCAUGAAUGUUAUAAAAAAAACUUGUUCUGUA